rnacentral:rRNA from 1 species
UUGAUCUCAAAUCAGGUAGGACUACCCGCUGAACUUAAGCAUAUCAAUAAGCGGAGGAAAAGAAACUAACAAGGAUUCCCCUAGUAACUGCGAGUGAAGCGGGAAGAGCUCAAAUAUAGAAUCUGGUGUGCUUCUGGCCACCCGAGUUGUAGUCUGGAGAAGCGUUUUCCGUGUUGGACCGUGUAUAAGUCUCUUGGAACAGGGCGUCAUAGAGGGUGAGAAUCCCGUCUUUGACACGGACUACCAAUGCUUUGUGAUGCGCUCUCAAAGAGUCGAGUUGUUUGGGAAUGCAGCUCAAAAUGGGUGGUAAAUCCAUCUAAAGCUAAAUAUAGGCGAGAGACCGAUAGCGAACAAGUACCGUGAGGGA